rnacentral:rRNA from 1 species
GCCCUUAAGCACUCGGUGAAGUAGGUGAACAAGCUGGAAAGCUUGGCGAUACAGGGUGAUAGCCCCGUAACCGACGCUUCAUCGAGCGUGAAAUCGAGUAGGGCGGGACACGUGAUAUCCUGUCUGAAUAUGGGGGGACCAUCCUCCAAGGCUAAAUACUCCUGACUGACCGAUAGUGAACCAGUACCGUGAGGGAAAGGCGAAAAGAACCCCUGUGAGGGGAGUGAAAUAGAACCUGAAACCGUGUACGUACAAGCAGUAGGAGCACCUUCGUGGUGUGACUGCGUACCUUUUGUAUAAUGGGUCAGCGACUUAUAUUCAGUGGCAAGGUUAACCGUAUAGGGGAGCCGUAGCGAAAGCGAGUCUUAACUGGGCGCUCAGUCUCUGGAUAUAGACCCGAAACCGGGUGAUCUAGCCAUGGGCAGGUUGAAGGUUGAGUAACAUCAACUGGAGGACCGAACCGACUAAUGUUGAAAAAUUAGCGGAUGACUUGUGGCUAGGGGUGAAAGGCCAAUCAAACUCGGAGAUAGCUGGUUCUCCCCGAAAGCUAUUUAGGUAGCGCCUCGGACGAAUACUACUGGGGGUAGAGCACUGUUAAGGCUAGGGGGUCAUCCCGACUUACCAACCCUUUGCAAACUCCGAAUACCAGUAAGUACUAUCCGGGAGACACACGGCGGGUGCUAACGUCCGUCGUGGAGAGGGAAACAACCCAGACCGCCAGCUAAGGUCCCAAAGUAUUGCUAAGUGGGAAACGAUGUGGGAAGGCUCAGACAGCUAGGAUGUUGGCUUAGAAGCAGCCAUCAUUUAAAGAAAGCGUAAUAGCUCACUAGUCGAGUCGGCCUGCGCGGAAGAUGUAACGGGGCUAAGCAAUACACCGAAGCUGCGGCAAUAUCUUUUAGAUAUUGGGUAGGGGAGCGUUCUGUAAGCCGUUGAAGGUGAAUCGUAAGGUUUGCUGGAGGUAUCAGAAGUGCGAAUGCUGACAUGAGUAACGACAAAGGGGGUGAAAAACCUCCUCGCCGGAAGACCAAGGGUUCCUGUCCAACGUUAAUCGGGGCAGGGUGAGUCGACCCCUAAGGUGAGGCCGAAAGGCGUAAUCGAUGGGAAACGGGUUAAUAUUCCCGUACUUCUGACUAUUGCGAUGGGGGGACGGAGAAGGCUAGGUGGGCCAGGCGACGGUUGUCCUGGUUCAAGUGCGUAGGCUUGAGAGUUAGGUAAAUCCGGCUCUCUUUAAGGCUGAGACACGACGUCGAGCUGCUACGGCAGUGAAGUCAUUGAUGCCAUGCUUCCAGGAAAAGCCUCUAAGCUUCAGAUAGUUAGGAAUCGUACCCCAAACCGACACAGGUGGUCGGGUAGAGAAUACCAAGGCGCUUGAGAGAACUCGGGUGAAGGAACUAGGCAAAAUGGUACCGUAACUUCGGGAGAAGGUACGCUCUUGAUGGUGAAGUCCCU